AAAAAGAAAAAAAAGGAAGAAAAAAAUUCCACCUUCCUCGUCGAGCAAAAACGUUUCUCCACUCAACGUUUACCUGUUAAUUAGCUCCACCUGUCUCGGUUUACCUGUACGAGUGGUCUUAAUUGGCUAGGUAAGGUAGAGGGGGAAGGGGAGUGGGAGAAAGGUAGUAGUAGUAGUAGUAGUAGUAGUAGUAGUAGUGGUAGUAGUAGUAGUAGUAGUAGUAGUAGUAGUAGUAGUAGUAGUAGUAGUAGUAGUAGUAGUAGUAGUAGUAGUAGUAGUAGUAGUUUUUGUUGUUUUUGCUUUCUUCUUUUCUUGUUUCUUUCUCUGCUUUUUCUUUAUUUUUUCUUUGUUUUUCUUAUUUUCUUAUUUUCUUGUCCUUCAUUUUCUUCGUUUUUCCUUUUUUUUUUUUUUUUUUUUCUCGUUCCUCUCAAUCUUCUUUCUCUGUUCUUAUUUUCUUCUUCAUUUUCUUCCUCUUGUUUUUCUUCUUCAUCUUCUUCUUCAUUUUCUUCCUCUUAUUUUUCUUCUUCAUCAUCUUCUUCAUUUUCUUCCUCUAUUUUUUCUUAUUUUUCUUUUUCGUCUUCUUCUUAUUCUUCCUUAUUUUCUUUCUCUUAUUUUUCUUCUUCAUCUUUUUCGUCUUCUUCUUCUUAUUUAUUUUCAUCGUCAUUGUCUUCUUGUUCUUCGUCUUCUCUCUACGUCUUCUCCUCCUCCUCCUCCUCCUCCUCUCCCUUCACCACCAACGCCACACAACACACUAACAAGUAACACAAUCUCACAGCCUCGUACCCUUUAUUCUCAUACCAAAGAACACAAAAUUCGCUAUACAGAACCACCCUUACAACAGGCGUUCAAAAAAGCAUAACAUUGGGCUGAAAAAGAUGAUAGUAGCGUGUCCAUAACCUCAAUAUGCUACCCUAAAUAGCCUAGCAAAUGUAUGUUUUUUUAUAGUAUGGCCUACAUUUCAGCUUAUACACUAGCACAGCCAUAGAGGAACUAAAUUAUAGACUAGAAUACAGGUGUUUCCAAGGUAUAUACUGCAUAGGCUAUUGGUUAACGUAUAGUGUAUUAGGCUACGGGUGAAUUCUUGGUUAGGUAUUAUAGGGCGUUGUCAGACUUCAGGUGUUCAUAGCCAUUGGAGUUAGUGUAGUUGGGGGGCAGAUGCUAUAUAGGUGCGCGUGGCCUCAGAGCUAAUUCCCGUUACAUGGCCUAAAUAUGGAAGAUUAGCCAUAGAUUGCUUUUGUUCAUCUAAAUAGACGAUUCAAAAGCUCUAUAUAAAGGGUACAACUCUAUACAGCGGUUCUAAAUAUCUAUAAAGACUGCGGAUGCUAUAGGUGCACUUGGCCUCAGAGCUAAUCUCCGUUACAUGGCCUAAAUAUGGAAGAUUAGCCAUAGAUUGCUUUUGUUCAUCUAAAUAGGCGAUUCAAAAGCUCUAUACAAAGGGUACAACUCUAUACAGCGGUUCUAAAUAUCUAUAAAGACUGCAGAUGCUAUAGGUGCGCGUGGCCUCAGAGCUAAUCCCCGUUACAUGGCCUAAAUAUGGAAGGUUAGCCGUAGAGAUCGCUUUUGUGGAUCUAAAUAGACGAUUCAGAAGCUCUAUACAAGGGUUUCAAUGCCACUCUAUACAGCAAACUCUAAAUAUGCUCUAGACUGCGCGUAGCCUCAUUGCUCACCUCCGUCACAUCAAUAUAUAGAUGGGAUAGAUGUUUAAUUACGGGAUGUUGGUUUGUGUUAUAUUUUUUCCUCGAUGGUUGAGUGGAUGAAACACGAUUUUUGUUACUCGUGAGCCUGGGUUCGGUUCCUGGUGAUGGCAAGUUAGGAAAUAAAUGAAAAAAAAAGGAGAGUUUCAUAGAUAUUGACAAGAGAGAAGUUAAGAUGAAGUUGAAAUUGGAAGUAUAAGAAAGAUUAAAAUGAUAGUGAUAGAAAUAAGGAAGGAGAAUUAAAUCAGAUAAACAGAGUGAGAAUUUAUUGAAGUUUAGAGAAAAAUGAAUAGAAAAUUGAUGAUAAAUGAAUAUAGACGGAUAGAAUGAGACAUAUAUAUAUAGACAGAUGAAGUAUAAGAAAGAUUUAAAAUGAUAGAUUGAUGAUUAUAAAGUGUAAUGUAUGGAAAAUGAAAUCAAUAAACUAGAGUGAAAAUUUAUUGAAGUUAGAGAAAAAUAAAUAGAAAAUAGAUGAUAAAUGAAUAUAGAUUAAUAGAAUGAGACAAAUAUUUAGAUAGAUGAAUGAAUAGACAGUUUAAGAAGACCACUAGGCUUUAUAAUAUUAAAGAAAGCUCAGAAAACAGAUAAUGGAGCCUAGAUAAAUUCAAAUAUAUAUAAAUAAACAAAUAAAUAUUAACUAACUCUUAAAAAAAA